GAGGUUUUCAGGCUCGGAGCGCCCGCCCAGAUCCCGCCCCUUCCUUCCUCCCGAGGUGACGCUGGCGCCUUUCCCUGGAGGCACCCAGCCCCGCGGUCGCCUCGCUCGGUUCUCUGGCGGGGUUUGGUGCGCGGUGCACCCACCCGUACCGCGCCUUCCCAAACCAGUGGCCUCACCAGAGAGCCCGUUUGGCGAGCUGGAGAAAAGACGGGAACUGGAUCACUUCAGCACUGAGGGGGAGUUUUCCCCCAAAUGAGUGUUGUCCCGGGGCGGGGGCAGGCGAGGAGUUGAACUAAUCUUUAGGUGACUCCUAAGAUACCAAGCAAACUAGGUGCUUGGCAUGCGCGAGCUCCUCUACUCAUCGCAGGCCCCCUUACACAUGAGUAAACUGAGGCCCAGAAGUGACGAGCAACAACAGAAAUGGUUUUUUUUUUUUUUUUGACAGAGCAACAGUCUCGCUCUGUCGCCCAUGCUGGACUGCAGUGGCGCGACCUCGGCUCACUGCAACCUUCGCCUCCCACAGAGGCCAGAUUUGAACUUGCUCCAGGUUGCCCUCGCCUCACACCCAGCAGAGCAAUCCAGUCGCUUCUUCUCCUGCCAAUUCCACCAGAAGGGACUUCCAGAGUUCGCAAGUAAAAGCUGGUACAUGAUGAAAUGAGAAACUCUCAGGAGUCCUUCAUAUCUUAGAGUGAAUAAGGGUUCCAGUCCUGUGAGAAUCGAAUGCCCCAGUGAUCUGACAGGAGACAGAGCUGACGCAGUAAUGCAGGUGAUGGGGAGCGACUGUAAAUACAGAUGAAGCUUCCCUUGCUGGGCCUGGGCUCACCUCCUGCUUUGCUGCUGGGUUCUUAACAAUCCAUGGACCACUGCCAGUCCAUGGCCCAGAGGUUGAGGACACUUGCAAUGAAGGAGAAAGAAGACUGAGGAUAGAGGAAGGAGGAGAAAACUUGGCCUGGUUGAGAUCACAGUGGCCUACUUCUUUGCAUGGAAACCAAAUUCUGGUGAUGGAAAUGAGUGGAAGCCCCUCAUUUGUCUGUGUUCUGUCCUUGAGUUCAGGAGAGUUGCUUGUUUGUGAAUCGGUUUCACUGGCAAUAAAAUGACAUUGAUGCCACCUGAUAAAGAGGUUCUGUGGGUGGGGUAAGUUUUGAACUGUAUCAGAGCUAGGUAUAACCAAAUACGGUAACUGUAGGGAAAGAAGGGUGCAUUUACAAGUGAGGCAGAUUCCCAUAAGGGCUGCAAUUUUGUUUGUUAAUCAUUAACAUUUAUUAUUUCUUCUCUGGAAGGAUAGCCAGGGUACCUUCUCUCAGCUGAUGAACUUGAGAGCAGGUGGAAGAUAAAACAUGCAAUCUGAUUGUGCCAGUGGACUCAUACAAUAGAAGGAUAUUAUCAGAAUUAGAGUUUCCAAUCUCUAAUUUGAAAACUGACAAAAGGCUGAGAAAAUUUCUAAAAGCUUAAAUAGGGCUAGUGCCCAAAAGAAAUGUGACUCUUUAUUUCUGUACUUUCAAUUUAUUACGUUUUCAGAAAAUCACCAGGGGACACUUGCAAAAGUAGCAAGUUUAAGUCACUCAUAUCUAAAUUAGGCAAAGUAAUUUGUAACAUGGGCUUUAUUAUUGUUUCUGUUUGUAGAACAUCAUUAAAAAUGAUUAUUUUUUAAUAAAGAGA